rnacentral:rRNA from 1 species
CACGUAGGUCCCGAGCGUUGUCCGGAUUUAUUGGGCGUAAAGCGAGCGCAGGUGGUUUAUUAAGUCUGGUGUAAAAGGCAGUGGCUCAACCAUUGUAUGCAUUGGAAACUGGUAGACUUGAGUGCAGGAGAGGAGAGUGGAAUUCCAUGUGUAGCGGUGAAAUGCGUAGAUAUAUGGAGGAACAUCGGUGGCGAAAGCGGCUCUCUGGCCUGUAACUGACACUGAGGCUCGAAAGCGUGGGGAGCAAACAGG